UAGGGAAUAUUCCACAAUGAGCGAAAGCUUGAUGGAGCGACACAGCGUGCACGAUGAAGGCCCUCGGGUUGUAAAGUGCUGUUGCAAGGGAAGAACAGUUAGUUGAGGAAAUGCUUCUAAUCUGACGGUACCUUGUUAGAAAGCGAUGGCUAACUAUGUGCCAGCAGCCGCGGUAAUACAUAGGUCGCAAGCGUUAUCCGGAAUUAUUGGGCGUAAAGCGUUCGUAGGCUGUUUAUUAAGUCUGGAGUCAAAUCCCAGGGCUCAACCCUGGCUCGCUUUGGAUACUGGUAAACUAGAGUUAGAUAGAGGUAAGCGGAAUUCCAUGUGGAGCGGUGAAAUGCGUAGAUAUAUGGAAGAACACCAAAGGCGAAGGCAGCUUACUGGGUCUAUACUGACGCUGAGGGACGAAAGCGUGGGGAGCAAACAGGAUUAGAUACCCUGGUAGUCCACGCUGUAAACGAUGAUCAUUAGUCGGUGGAAAACUACUGACGCAGCUAACGCAUUAAAUGAUCCGCCUGAGUAGUAUGCUCGCAGGGAGUG
rnacentral:rRNA from 1 species